rnacentral:rRNA from 1 species
CCUACGGGUGGCAGCAGUGAGGAAUAUUGGUCAAUGGACGCAAGUCUGAACCAGCCAUGCCGCGUGCAGGAAGACGGCUCUAUGAGUUGUAAACUGCUUUUUUACGAGGGUAAACGCUGAUACGUGUAUCUUUAUGACAGUAUCGUACGAAUAAGGAUCGGCUAACGCCGUGCCAGCAGCCGCGGUAAUACGGAGGAUUCAAGCGUUAUCCGGAUUUAUUGGGGUUAAAGGGUGUGUAGGCGGUCGUAUAAGUUAGAGGUGAAAUCCCGGGGCUAAACUUCGGAAUUGCCUUUGAUACUGUUAGACUAGAGAGUAGUUGCGGUAGGCGGAAUGAAUGGUGUAGCGGUGAAAUGCUUAGAGAUAAUACAGAACACCGAUUGCGAAGGCAGCUUACCAAGCUACUUCUGACGCUGAAGCACGAAAGCGUGGGGAGCAAACAGGAUUAGAUACCCCUGUAGUC